rnacentral:rRNA from 1 species
CCUACGGGGGGCUGCAGUAAGGAAUAUUGGACAAUGGGCGCAAGCCUGAUCCAGCCAUGCCGCGUGCAGGAUGAAAGUGCUAUGCACUGUAAACUGCUUUUGUUUGGGAAAAAACCCCUGGUUUCUACCGGGGCUGAUUGUACCAAAAGAAUAAGGGACGGCUAACUUCGUGCCAGCAGCCGCGGUAAUACGAAGGUCCCAAGCGUUAUCCGGAUUUAUUGGGUUUAAAGGGUGCGUAGGCGGACUAUUAAGUCAGUGGUGAAAGCCCCAAGCUUAACUUGGGAACUGCCAUUGAUACUGAUGGUCUUGAGUACAUUUGAGGUGGGCGGAAUGUGUCAUGUAGCGGUGAAAUGCUUAGAUAUGACACAGAACACCGAUUGCGAAGGCAGCUCACUAAACUGUAACUGACGCUGAGGCACGAAAGCGUGGGGAGCAAACAGGAUUAGAUACCCUAGUAGUC